UACGGAGGAUCCAAGCGUUAUCCGGAAUCAUUGGGUUUAAAGGGUCCGUAGGCGGCCGAGUAAGUCAGUGGUGAAAGCCCAUCGCUCAACGGUGGAACGGCCAUUGAUACUGCUCGGCUUGAAUUACUGGGAAGUAACUAGAAUAUGUAGUGUAGCGGUGAAAUGCUUAGAUAUUACAUGGAAUACCGAUUGCGAAGGCAGGUUACUACCAGUUUAUUGACGCUGAUGGACGAAAGCGUGGGGAGCGAACAGGAUUAGAUACCCUGGUAGUCCACGCCGUAAACGAUGGAUACUAGCUGUUGGGAGCAAUCUCAGUGGCUAAGCGAAAGUGAUAAGUAUCCCACCUGGGGAGUACGAACGCAAGUUUGAA
rnacentral:rRNA from 1 species